AUUGAACGCUGGCGGCAGGCCUAACACAUGCAAGUCGAGCGAGCGGCGGACGGGUGAGUAUUGUAUGGGGACUGCCCGAUAGAGGGGGAUAACUACUGGAAACGGUGGCUAAUACCGCAUAUUGUCGGAUAACCCAUAUGUGAUUAGCUAGUAGGUAAGGUAAUGGCUUACCUAGGCGACGAUGUCUAGCUUGUCUGAGAGGAUGAUCAGCCACAAUGGGACUGAGACACGGCCCAGACUCCUACGGAGGCAGCAGUGGGGAAUAUUGAACAAUGGGCGCAAGCCUGAUGCAGCCAUGCCGCGUGUAUGAAGAAGGCCCUAGGGUUGUAAAGUACUUUCAGUCGGGAGGCGUUACCGGCAGAGGAAGCACCGGCUAACUCCGUGCCAGCCGCCGCGGUAAUAC
rnacentral:rRNA from 1 species